GCUCAGGAGAGCGCAGAGCACAUCGAUGGCGACGCCAAAGCAGAAGGGGCGGGGUCGCCGGGGACUGCCAAGAAAGCCCAGAAUUUAUCUUACAGCUACAAGCAAGGUGCCUGGCUGCCCUCAACACUUCCCUAAAGGGGGAAGGAAGUGACUAUGGAAAUGGCGGAGCCAAGCAAAACCAGGGAGGGCAGACCUUCCGUCACUGGUCACCGUUGAGGCAAAAGCCCUGCGCGGCCUGAGCCCCGGCCCUGCCCAAACAGGGGUUGUGGAUUUUGUGGAAGAAUACCAUGGAAGUAAAGUGCCAUUCUCUUGACAUCAUACCAGAGGGACACGCUAUCAACAGGGAUGAUAUUAGUCCAAAUCACUAGACAAGGCAGUGUUUAUCGAGCCUCACCACCAUAAAGUUCUUUCUUUACUCCUUUCCAUGUUCUAUUCUUUGGAACCCAUUCACUAAGUACAGCCUACUUUUGCCUGUUUGUUUUUUAAAUAGCAUUGUUUGUCUUACUGAGUUUUAGAAGUUUUUGUGUAUCCUAAAUAAAAGUUAUUUAUUAGAUAUACA